UACGGAGGAUGCAAGCGUUAUCCGGAAUUAUUGGGCGUAAAGCGUCCGCAGGUGGUUUUGAAAGUUUGCUGUCAAAGCGCGGAGCUUAACUUCGUACCGGCAGUGAAAACUCCAAGACUAGAGUUUGGUAGGGGUCACGGGAAUUCCCAGUGUAGCGGUGAAAUGCGUAGAGAUUGGGAGGAACACCAGUGGCGAAGGCGGCUCACUGGACCGGUACUGACGCUGAUGCGCGAAAGCGUGGGGAGCAAACAGG
rnacentral:rRNA from 1 species